UGGGGAAUUUUGGACAAUGGGCGAAAGCCUGAUCCAGCAAUGCCGCGUGUGUGAAGAAGGCCUUCGGGUUGUAAAGCACUUUUGUCCGGAAAGAAAUCCUUGGCUCUAAUACAGUCGGGGGAUGACGGUACCGGAAGAAUAAGCACCGGCUAACUACGUGCCAGCAGCCGCGGUAAUACGUAGGGUGCAAGCGUUAAUCGGAAUUACUGGGCGUAAAGCGUGCGCAGGCGGUUUGCUAAGACCGAUGUGAAAUCCCCGGGCUCAACUUGGGAACUGCAUUGGUGACUGGCAGGCUAGAGUAUGGCAGAGGGGGGUAGAAUUCCACGUGUAGCAGUGAAAUGCGUAGAGAUGUGGAGGAAUACCGAUGGCGAAGGCAGCCCCCUGGGCCAAUACUGACGCUCAUGCACGAAAGCGUGGGGAGCAAACAGGAUUAGAUACCCUGGUAGUCCACGCCCUAAACGAUGUCAACUAGUUGUUGGGGAUUCAUUUCCUUAGUAACGUAGCUAACGCGUGAAGUUGACCGCCUGGGGAGUACGGUCGCAAGAUUAAAACUCAAAUGAAUUGACGGGGUCAUAGCUGUUUCCU
rnacentral:rRNA from 1 species